AGCCUCUCCGUUUUAAUCAGUUCAACUCCGUUUCUUUUCUCACCAAUCUCUCGAUUCUCUCCUUCAUCUCUCUCCCUCGCUCUAAUUUCAUCUCUCUCUCACAAAUCUCUGUCGACCUCAUCCCUCUCUCGAUCUCUUUCUCUCCCUCGAGUCUCUCUCAAUCCCUCCGCUCUCUCUCCCUCGGUUUUCCGGCGCCGCCUCACUUCCGGCAACAUCUCCGCCGCUCGCCCCUGUUUUUCCGGAUCGAGCAUUGAGGGCAUGAUACCAAGCAAAGGCAAGAAAAGGUGAGAGUUGUAUAGCGGUUCAGUAGUUACGGAUUGUUCCGGACGAAUAGAACCAGACGUUGGGGAUCAAGACUGAAGUUAGAUAAGAUUUUGUAUCAGGCUGCAGCAAUCGCAUGAGCGCCAUAGCAGAGAAUCAGGAAUAGUUGAGGGUGAUGUCUUGAGAAAGCAGAAUAAGAUAAGGAUGUUAGUUGAAAGUGUAUAAGCUAAGGACCAAAGCUAAGGCUAGAGAUGGAUUAUCUGAUAGACUGCACAUGAGAGUGAUGUUAAGCGGCAAGGAUUCUAAGAGGUUAAGUACAUUAGAGAUCAGGAACGUCAUGGUAAAAACAAGAUCAAUGACAAAGAAAGAAUCCAUGAUGGUGGAAACUAAUACCAAGAUUGAUGUUAAGAGACAAGCAUCCAAGCAAAUUAGGAAAAACAAUAAGAAGUCUGAUGGUGGCUAUUUGGGACCCGUGACAAUAGACAUUGAAGCUUUGCAAAUCUUCAUUUCCGAGGACUACAUGAUCCGAGAUCCAAAGAAGCCAGAUGAUAAAUCCAUACCACCUAGCGUCAACUAUGCCAGAGAAAUCAAAUGGCGUGCUGCCAGGCAUUCUGAAUGGGACAAGAUGAGUCAACAUGAGAAAGCUCCCUUUAUUCAAAAGGCCAUGAAAAAGAGGACACCUUACCCACAUCAUCUUAUUUAUCAGUGAGGGACUGAGGGCUAAGCCAGGAAUUUGCCAGCUGGAAUUGUCUAGCUUUCUUUUGGAGUCAUGAAUAUAAUAUUAGACAUGCGUAGUGAACCUAUAUAAUGUUCAGACAUUUAGUGCAAUAUUAGUGAAUCUAUCAAGUUCUGAGUUUGGUUGGUAGUUUUUAUAUGCUAUUUUUAAACUAGUACCUCAUUUGGUGAAUAUUUGUAAAGUUUAUUAAUCGCAGGUUCUCUUUUGGCA